rnacentral:rRNA from 1 species
GAUCAUGGCUCAGGAUGAAUGCUGGCGGCGUGCCUAAUACAUGCAAGUCGAGCGGCAGCGCGUCUAGUUUACUAGAUGGCGGCGAGCGGCGGACGGCUGAGUAACGCGUAAGAAUGUGCCCCAAAGUGAGGAAUAACUGCCCGAAAGGGUAGCUAAUGCCGCAUAUGGUCUUCGGAUUAAAGGAUUUAUCCGCUUUGGGAGCAGCCUGCGUACGAUUAGAUAGUUGGUGAGGUAAUGGCUCACCAAGUCGACGAUCGUUAGCUGGUCUGAGAGGAUGAUCAGCCAGACUGGAACUGAGACACGGUCCAGACUCCUACGGGAGGCAGCAGUAAGGAAUCUUCCACAAUGGGCGAAAGCCUGAUGGAGCAACGCCGCGUGCAGGAUGAAGGCCUUCGGGUUGUAAACUGCUUUUAUGAGUGAAGAAUAUGACGGUAACUCAUGAAUAAGCACCGGCUAACUACGUG